UGAUCUCAGAACUAAUUUUAGGACCGUUAUUGCUCACUGAGCAAAGCAACAAACUGUAUUUUUGCUAAUUAAGCUGCCAACACCCAAAGCAUGGGUGCUUCUGCAAAACUCAAAGCAUUACAUGAAACUCUUCAACAUCUUCACUAAAGUGAAGAUUAAACUCUAACAAGUCUUUCUAUUAAGUAAUUACUUUUGUUGUUAUCCCCAACACAAAUGCACAUACACACACAUACCGGAUGAGGCUUCCAGAUCUCUUCAGGUUGCAGACACAUGAAAACAGUGUUGUCCGGCAGAGCUAUGAGGAACUCAUCUGAGUCCACCUCUGUCCCGUCCUCCUCACACACCAGGGUCAGCAUUUUAGAAAUCAGCAGAGCCUGGCCUGCCUGAGGUAAGAGUUACAGUAUUCUGUCAAACAUGCCACACAUUUACAUCAUAAUUAUUGAACUCUUCAUGAUGUUUUUUAGUUAUUCAGGUCAUUGUAGAAUAUCUAGAAAUGUGUAACACUGAUAGAACCACUGCAAAACUUAGCAGGCAAGAUAAACUAAACAAAGCUUGCCUGUUUUGAUUCAUUGUCAUACCCUCUCUUUGAGCUCCUCCAGGGUUCCCGCAGUGAUGCCUUUUUUGACCUCUCUGUUCCAGGAACACACUCUGAAUGGACGCUGCGGAGGCGACCAAACCCGCCGAGACACUGACCUGAGAAAUGGAAGAGGAGACCAAAAUGUCAAAAACAACAACUGCAGGUAAAAAGCUCAAGCUGGUUUGAAAGAAGUCACUGGUGAGUAAAUGAUCAUUUUCACUCUUUAAUAAAAAGGCAUACAAUGUCAUUUUUCCAAUGACUCAGUGUUUUAUUUUUUCAAUAUCGUAAUAUAACUAAAACCAAUGUUGUGUUUUCAUUACUUUUACAAACAAAUAGAAAGUAGCAUGUUUCAAAUGUCAUUACUUACAAAAAUGGGCCGUCAGUUUAAGUGUAACAUAGUUUAUUUUGUGUAAUGACAAAGUUUUUUGUCAUGGUUACAGAAUGACAUCAAUCAUCACACGAUGAUAUCACAACAUCUUAAGCAACUUCCUCUGAAAAUUAGUAGGCAACAUUAGUUAUCUUCAUUCUCACUUUUUCUUUAAAGUUCAUCAGCCGAAAGAAAAAGUUGGCAAAUAAUAAUUGGUCAUUUUAGGAUGAGCAAAUAAUGAUUAUUUUCAUUUCUGGGCUAAAUUUCUUUUUAUUCAAAGUUCAUCAUCUGAAGAAAUGUUAACAAAUAACGAAUAUUGCUCAUUUCAUGAUGCACAAAUAAUGAUUUUUUUUCCUUGAUUUUGAGAAUGAUCUUAAUUUGCUUUAUAUGACAUUUUCCCUCCAUAAGUACAGUAUGUUCUGUCUGUAUUGGUUAAUAUGAUUGAUAUAUAUUUUGAUGGCUUACCAAAAAUUAAAGUACUUAAAUUUGCUAUUCACUAAAAAUCUUGACAUCCUCUUUAGAUGUUCCCUGGCUUUUAUUUUUUAUUUAUUAGAAAAUUGGAGAUGUCUGAUCCAUGAACGAACUGUUCACUUUAUUUGAUGAUUGAAUUAUCCUGUUUAAAAUAAAACCUUGUCUGAUUAUUUACUGA
rnacentral:lncRNA from 1 species